AUACUCUGGUUUCUCUUCAUAUCGUAUAAAUCUUUCGCCUUUUACUAAAGAUUUCCGUGGAGAGAAACGAUUCUGAGUCUUAGCUCAAUUUUUUGUAGGCCUUGUUAUUUCAAUGGGCCU
ensembl:snRNA U5 U5 spliceosomal RNA